rnacentral:rRNA from 1 species
GAUGAACGCUAGCUACAGGCUUAACACAUGCAAGUCGCGGGGCAGCAUGGGGGUUGCUUGCAAUCCCCGAUGGCGACCGGCGCACGGGUGAGUAACGCGUAUCCAACCUGCCCUUCACCACGGGAUAACCCGGCGAAAGUCGGACUAAUACCGUAUGUUGUCCAUUGACGGCAUCCGAUUUGGACGCAAUGUUUGGCGGUGAAGGAUGGGGAUGCGUCCGAUUAGCUGGACGGCGGGGUGACGGCCCACCGUGGCGACGAUCGGUAGGGGUUCUGAGAGGAAGGUCCCCCACACUGGAGCUGAGACACGGUCCAGACUCCUACGGGAGGCAGCAGUGAGGAAUAUUGGUCAAUGGGCGUAAGCCUGAACCAGCCAAGUAGCGUGCAGGAGGACGGCCAUAUGGGUUGUAAACUGCUUUUAUGCGGGGAUAAAGUGGCCCACGUGUGGGUUUUUGCAGGUACCGCAUGAAUAAGGACCGGCUAAUUCCGUG